rnacentral:rRNA from 1 species
UACUGAGUUUACGCUCUACAACCCUUUGUGAACAUACCUAUAACUGUUGCUUCGGCGGGCAGGGUCUCCGUGACCCUCCCGGCCUCCCGCCCCCGGGCGGGUCGGCGCCCGCCGGAGGAUAACCAAACUCUGAUUUAACGACGUUUCUUCUGAGUGGUACAAGCAAAUAAUCAAAACUUUUAACAACGGAUCUCUUGGUUCUGGCAUCGAUGAAGAACGCAGCGAAAUGCGAUAAGUAAUGUGAAUUGCAGAAUUCAGUGAAUCAUCGAAUCUUUGAACGCACAUUGCGCCCGCCAGCAUUCUGGCGGGCAUGCCUGUUCGAGCGUCAUUUCAACCCUCAAGCUCUGCUUGGUGUUGGGGCCCUACAGCCGAUGUAGGCCCUCAAAGGUAGUGGCGGACCCUCCCGGAGCCUCCUUUGCGUAGUAACUUUACGUCUCGCACUGGGAUCCGGAGGGACUCUUGCCGUAAAGCCCCCCAUUCUCCAAAGGUUGACCUCGGAUCAGGUAGGAAUACCCGCUGAACUUAAGCAUAUCAAUAAGCGGAGGAGGUCA